GAUGAACGCUGGCGGCGUGCUUAACACAUGCCAGUCGAACGGAAAGGCUCCUGCUUGCAGGGGUACUCGAGUGGCGAACGGGUGAGUAACACGUGGGUGAUCUGCCCUGCACUUCGGGAUAAGCUUGGGAAACUGGGUCUAAUACCGGAUAGGACCGCAUUUUGGAUGGUGUGGUGGAAAGUUUUUUCGGUGUGGGAUGAGCUCGCGGCCUAUCAGCUUGUUGGUGGGGUAAUGGCCUACCAAGGCGUCGACGGGUAGCCGGCCUGAGAGGGUGUACGGCCACAUUGGGACUGAGAUACGGCCCAGACUCCUACGGGAGGCAGCAGUGGGGAAUAUUGCACAAUGGGCGCAAGCCUGAUGCAGCGACGCCGCGUGGGGGAUGACGGCCUUCGGGUUGUAAACUCCUUUCGCUAGGGACGAAGAGUAAUUGACGGUACCUGGAGAAGAAGCACCGGCUAACUACGUG
rnacentral:rRNA from 1 species